rnacentral:lncRNA from 1 species
UCCAUGUGCUAACCCUUCUUCAUUCCAUGUUGUAAAUUAAAGUAAUUAGCAAACAAAAGCCAGCUUGUAGACUUUCCCUACAAGUAGAAACAGGCACAGAAGCAUCAAGGCACUUUUCCUUUGUUUAAACAUUACAAAUGUCAUUGAUCAUUUCAUGGAAUUAAUCUUGGGAGGUUAAAAAAAAUCUAAUAGAGAGUGUGAAAGGGUAGGCAGUGAAAAAUGGUUAGAGUGAAUGUUAACGCGAGUACUCUGGUUGUCACUGGUAGCUAUUCAAGCAAAUGAGAUGCUUUGCUGUAGCUUGGCAGAAGAAUAUUUUUGUAGUACAGAGAAAUGAAAUGUGUAGCAUAGGCAAUGCACUCUGAAGAGACAUUUCCUGGAAGCCAUUUUCAUUUUUAUCAUACAUAGCCCAUUCUUAAAGAAGGCAUGGCUGUUCCUUCCUCGGCUUUUGUGCUGGGACUUUCUAUUUUCUGCUGGGAGCUGCAGCAAUGUGUGGUUUCUGUUGAGAGAGGAAACUUUCCUGUAAGGCAUAUAUGCUAAAAAAAACCCAAAAGUUUGCUUGUUUGUGCCAUUUUCCUUAAAAUAGCCCGGAAAACUGUUUUCAAAUGCCCCUCCAGUGAUGAUUUAGGUUAACAGCUUGGUGACAUUAUUAUGUUUCCAUUAAAUGUUGAGAAGUUUGUGGGUAGUUUCUUUUGGCAGAUCAGGUUGGUUAAAAGUAUGUUUUCACAGUGACUCGUUUUGAUUUCUUUAUUACAUUAUGGGCAACUGUAAUAGUGUCUUUCAUUUUCUAUCUUCUUUUUUUGCUUAUUUUCUUUAAGAUCCUCUUGUAGGACUUGAAAACACUGAUAUUCUGCUGAAUUCAUUCGUCAUAUAACAAGGACUGGGUACUGCCAAAGUUAUGGAAUCUCUUUCUAAUGGGAGCUGACCAAACCUGAAAUGAGUUACAGAGCUUUGCUGUUUUUGUUAGAGAAGACUGUAGGAAACAGCCCAAGUGAACAGGAAUAUGACUGGCAGUUGCUGCAGCUCUGCAUGAGCCUGGGAAGGAAUGGUUAUUCUGACUUCAGAAUGAACUACAAAGAAACAUGUGGCUGGAAGAAAAUGUGAUCAGAGCAAAGGUGCUAUUUUGGAGCAGGUCUAAGCUUUGUUGGUGCUCUGGGACUCUGUAUGACUUCAUUUUCUUUCUUUGUGUGAGACAGUGUCCUCUUUGGAACAAAAUCUCUGCAGGAGCUACUUACUGAACACAGAAAACAAACGUAAAUCUCAACAUCAGGUAAAAUCUCCACUGAAUCAGAGACUGUGAGCAAGUCCCACAUGGACUGUGGGCAGCUCACUUUUAAAAAGCUCUGAGCUUACAUACCACAAUUAGUCAGCAAUGGUUGUUAAUUAUGUCGACUAACAAAUUUAAGUAUGAUGGCAAAUAGACAAAACCGUAUGAGUGGCUGGGGGAGAAAACUGAUGACUGUAUGUUGGCGCAAGGCUUCCAAGGAGUAGGGUACAGUGUGUGCCAGACAAUGUGUACUGGCAGAAUGGCAGGUGGUGAUUUUAAACUCUUGUUUCUUUUCUUCCUGUGAACUUGGUCACUGAAAUGAAUCGUUCUGAGUACCUUGUUGCACUGGGAAUAGAAGUUGCUCCCAAUAAUCCUCUGCUUAGACUGAGAUUCACUUGACAAAAUACAGAUACACUGCCUGCCAUCUAGGUGUCUCCCUCUAGGUGUCUACCUGUAGGUUUCUACCUGUAGGUCUAGUGGCUUCUUUCUGGGUGUCCAUAGUUAGAAUUUCUUGAGGUAGUCAUCUCGCCUUUCUUUUCAGCAUGGCUAGAUAAAAUACAAGUGACAUGAUUGGUCUUUUUGCAUUAUUUAUUAAAUUUUACUUUUGUUAAAGUAUUCUAGAUAACAUCAAAUCAUUUUAUAUGCAGC